rnacentral:lncRNA from 1 species
UUUAUAAGCAGGGGGCGAAUUCAGUAUUUUAAUUUUAGGUAUGCAAAAUGAUAUGAAGCAUAACCAUGAAAAUUUGUCAAGCAAUUUCAAUUGCAAUAUCAUUUUUUAUAACUACAAAUACUUUCUAUUUUGAAAGUUCUAUUAUUAUGCCUUGAAACGUAGCUAAGAAUGAGCAAUUUAACAAGAAUGUGAGGUAUUCAUUAACUUGUACACAAGAGAGGCGCGAACAAUUAUAAUUUAAGGAUGCGAACU